rnacentral:rRNA from 1 species
AGUGAACGCUGGCGGUAGGCCUAACACAUGCAAGUCGAACGGCAGCACAGUAAGAGCUUGCUCUUACGGGUGGCGAGUGGCGGACGGGUGAGGAAUACAUCGGAAUCUACUUUUUCGUGGGGGAUAACGUAGGGAAACUUACGCUAAUACCGCAUACGACCUACGGGUGAAAGCAGGGGAUCUUCGGACCUUGCGCGAUUGAAUGAGCCGAUGUCGGAUUAGCUAGUUGGCGGGGUAAAGGCCCACGAAGGCGACGAUCCGUAGCUGGUCUGAGAGGAUGAUCGGCCACACUGGAACUGAGACACGGUCCAUACUCCUACGGUAGGCAGCAGUGGGGAAUAUUGGACAAUGGGCGCAAGCCUUAUCCAGCCAUACCGCGUGGGUGAAGAAGGCCUUCGGGUUGUAAAGCCCUUUUGUUGGGAAAGAAAAGCAGCAGGUUAAUACCCCGCUGUUCUGACGGUACCCAAAGAAUAAGCACCGGCUAACUUCGUG